rnacentral:rRNA from 1 species
GACGAACGCUGGCGGCGUGCUUAACACAUGCAAGUCGAACGGAAAGGCCCUGCUUGCCGGGUACUCGAGUGGCGAACGGGUGAGUAACACGUGGGUGAUCUGCCCUGCACUUCGGGAUAAGCCUGGGAAACUGGGUCUAAUACCGGAUAGGAGCCAUUUUUAGUGUGAUGGUUGGAAAGUUUUUUCGGUGUAGGAUGAGCUCGCGGCCUAUCAGCUUGUUGGUGGGGUAAUGGCCUACCAAGGCGGCGACGGGUAGCCGGCCUGAGAGGGUGGACGGCCACAUUGGGACUGAGAUACGGCCCAGACUCCUACGGGAGGCAGCGGUGGGGAAUAGUGCACAAUGGGCGCAAGCCUGAUGCAGCGACGCCGCGUGGGGGAUGACGGCCUUCGGGUUGUAAACUCCUUUCGCUAGGGACGAAGCUUUUUGUGACGGUACCUAGAUAAGAAGCACCGGCUAACUACGUG